UGGGGAAUAUUGGACAAUGGGCGAAAGCCUGAUCCAGCCAUGCCGCGUGUGUGAAGAAGGUCUUCGGAUUGUAAAGCACUUUAAGUUGGGAGGAAGGGCAUUAACCUAAUACGUUAGUGUUUUGACGUUACCGACAGAAUAAGCACCGGCUAACUCUGUGCCAGCAGCCGCGGUAAUACAGAGGGUGCAAGCGUUAAUCGGAAUUACUGGGCGUAAAGCGCGCGUAGGUGGUUUGUUAAGUUGGAUGUGAAAUCCCCGGGCUCAACCUGGGAACUGCAUUCAAAACUGACUGACUAUAGUAUGGUAGAGGGUGGUGGAAUUUCCUGUGUAGCGGUGAACUGCGUAGAUAUAGGAAGGAACACCAGUGGCGAAGGCGACCACCUCGACUAAUACUGACACUGAGGCGCGAAAGCGUGGGGAGCAAACA
rnacentral:rRNA from 1 species